rnacentral:rRNA from 1 species
CUACGUGCCAGCAGCCGCGGUAAUACGGAAGGUUCGGGCGUUAUCCGGACUUAUUGGGUUUAAAGGGAGCGUAGGCCGGAGAUUAAGUGUGUUGUGAAAUGUAGACGCUCAACGUCUGACUUGCAGCGCAUACUGGUUUCCUUGAGUACGCACAACGUUGGCGGAAUUCGUCGUGUAGCGGUGAAAUGCUUAGAUAUGACGAAGAACUCCGAUUGCGAAGGCAGCUGACGGGAGCGCAACUGACGCUGAAGCUCGAAGGUGCGGGUAUCGAGCAGGAUUAGAUACCCUGGUAGUCCGCACAGUAAACGAUGGAUGCCCGCUGUUGGUACCUGGUAUCAGCGGCUAAGCGAAAGCAUUAAGCAUCCCACCUGGGGAGUACGCCGGCAACGGUGAAACUCAAAGGAAUUGACGGGGGCCCGCACAAGCGGAGGAACAUGUGGUUUAAUUCGAUGAUACGCGAGGAACCUUACCCGGGCUUGAAUUGCAGAGGAAGGAUUUAGAGAUA